AUGAUGUCCUGCCAUCCCACUUAAUGGACCUUGGCGUCAUUAUUUCCUGUUGUAUGAGUAAUCCAUGCCCGGGCUGGUGAGAGGGCGGGCAGAAAACAAACCACAGAACCAAUAUGGACAUUGAAACUCGUUGUAAUGAUUUCACAUUAUUGAGAAACGAUCAUUUGGUGGUCUGCUGACAAGGAAAACACACUGCUCCGCACGGGGACGAGCGUAGACACGAACAAUUGUCUCAAGAGGAAAGUAAUGUUCUUAUAUGGACGUCGCAUGAGAGGGGCACCAACACUCGUGUCACAUGAGUCUGAUUUCUCCAAAUUCAUAACGUCCUGCAAUCACAAGAUCAUCCGACACAAAAAUUCACAAGGUCACAUUGAUGUUGCCUAAAACAAACUUAAAAAAAAAAAAAAAAAGCAUGACUGCGUGCACACUACAGUGAAGACCCACACAGACACCCACACACACACACACACACACACACAAUGCAUGAGCUGUUCAGUGUCCUCAUUUCUUUCCAGUGCUCCUGGGAAUGUCCUGAAUCAGACCAGCCUUUGCUCCCGACCCCCGGCCACAGAAAAACACUUUCUCUGUGCGACCACACAAAAGGUGCAGUCAGUGUGUGAGUGGCUUGCAGGUUACAUUUCGUUGGAUCCUGGCCCCAUUUUACAGUGUGCGUUGCUGCUUCAGAAGAAUAUCAAAUACCGCUGUCAUCUAGAAAAACUGUGAUUAACCCAAGGUAAUGGUACGUUUCAUGUGGUCGCCUUUCGGGGAAACAUCAGAUGGUAUGUUAGCGAGUGGGGAAGGAUGUUGGUGAACACGAGUAAACACAAUGUGAAUCAAGCUUUGAAACAUUACCUUGUCUGUAAGCAGUUCUGCCUGAGUCACGUCAGUUAGAUUUUCAUCAGCGAUAACGGUUGUUUAAUAAAGGAUACUCCCAUGAUCACACGCUACUUUACUGCUUCGCAAAAAAAUCUUUGUUUGACCGAGUCAGAUAUACACACUGUGCUUUUACGUCUAUUAUUUUUAUAUUGUUAAAUGUUACACAAUUGUUUUAUUAUCACUGAUGUGUUCAUGUAUAAGCAGCAUUUUAUUUUGUAGUCAGCCAAAGUGGAGCAAAUCUUAACUACUGGGUUCAUAUGAAAAGAAAUGUAUCAUAUUUGUAAGCCUUUUUUCUGUACAUAAAAUCACAAAUUUAGUGAAGUAAAUCAAAUUUAAUGGAGGUUUAAUGGUUCGUGGACGGUUGCUAGUGAUUCAAUAAGAAAAAUGCAAGAUAUAAGAUAGUUAUUUAUGACUGAAACUUGUAUAUUCAGUCUGAUGGUGUCUCAUCUUGACCUGGCACUGAUGGAUUCGGUGUAUGUAUUGAGAUGAUGGCUGCCUCUCAAUAUAAUAUAUGACCAUGCUUCCCCUCUCCUCUCCUGCUGAUUUACAGUGAUCUGUGGCCAUGGGUCUGGUCGAGGCAAUAUCUCCACGGAUUUCUUUAUGUAUCGGCAAUUGAUUUACCAAUCAUUUUCAUUAUGGCCGGUGGAAAUAAGACAAAGGGAAAGGGAGAUCAUAGUGUAUGACAGCUGAGCUGCAGCCACUGAGACCGUGAGCCUAUUUGGUUGCGCAGGGCAACAGUCAGAUAAUGGAUGACGAGGCCUCUUGGAGCCAGCCGUUCCAUUAGGUUUUGUUAAUGCGGUCAGAGGAGGUUGGCGUGGCUCAUCCGCCUUCAUAUCCACUUUCAGAGACGCUCACUCAUGCUGGCCGGUGGAUCUCUCUCUCUCCCUCAUUUGCUCGCUCCAUUGUCUUGCUUUCUACCCUGAACUUCCUCCUACAGUACAUCCCUGUUUUGUAUUCUCUACUCUCUCAGUCUUUAUUUCUCCCCCCUUCUCUGAGAGCGCUUGAGUGGAUCCAUUUUGUGCUGCUGCUUUAGAUUAGUUGGCGGUUUUCUUACAGUAUCAUCCAGCCGUUGCACAAGAGCAAAAGGUACAUUUUGUCUCUGAAUUACCACGCUGAGGGAUUUGCGGUGGAUUCUCACUUUUGCAACUCAGAAUUCUUCGAAGCUUAUUUUCAAAUCUGUGUGCCUCUCUAGUGCUUUACAAGCACAUCCGUGCAGCAUGUGUGGCAAACUGGGAAGUCCAGGCUUGUGAAAGACGUACUAGUGUCAUGACCGACUGUCAGGACAGUGUGUGUACAUUUAGAGGGAGGGACAGAGGAGAAAUUCAUGAAUGGAGACAUGUGUGUCAGUGUGUGUGUGUGUGUGUGUGUUUGUGUGUGGCAAUCACUUUCUAAUGCUGGGAAUGUAAGCAUCAUGCUGGGAGAGGAUCUUGUUUAAUGCUUUCCUGUCUUGCUCUCUCUGUGUCUGCCCAUUAGGGCUGGAUUACCAACCCUGCAAAGUGGCCCCAUACUUCCAGAGGACUUAAAGUCUCAGGUUCACUGCAUGUCUAUUGGUCUUUGGUAAUUUGAUUAAAUGCCAUUUUGUUUGCACCACUAAACUAUAAUAUGAAUUAAGUCCUGCAACAUCCUGACAACCUGCAGUGUCAGCUAAUUGUGUGGCCCUGUGUUGUAGAGAGAUCCUGGGUCAGAAUAUAGUUUUAAGACACUUACUGUUUAAUAUAUUGUGGUCAUGCUGUUCAUAUUACUAAAUAAAGUUGUGUCUAAUUCAGUC